GGAGGACCGAGAGCUGACCUCGUUGAGAUCAGAUGGAUGAGGAGGCGGAAGGGAAGUGCGCAGGAUGAUCUGUAACUGGGAGGGCCGAGAGCUGACCUCGUUGAGAUCAGAUGGAUGAGGCGGCGGAAGGGAAGUGCGUAGGACGACCUGUAACCGGGAGGACUGAGAGCUGACCUCGUUGAGAUCAGAUGGAUGAGUCGGCGGAAGGGAAGUGCGCAGGAUGACGUGUAACCGGGAGGCGGCGGAAGGGAAGUGCGCAGGAUGACCUGUAACCGGGAGGACCGAGAGCUGACCUCGUUGAGAUCAGAUGGAUGAGGCN
rnacentral:lncRNA from 1 species